rnacentral:rRNA from 1 species
GAUGAACGCUGGCGGCGUUCCUAAUACAUGCAAGUCGAGCGAACAGACGAGGAGCUUGCUCCUCUGACGUUAGCGGCGGACGGGUGAGUAACACGUGGAUAACCUACCUAUAAUACUGUGAUAACUUCGGGAAACCGGAGCUAAUACCGGAUAAUAUAUUGAACCGCAUGGUUCAAUAGUGAAAGACGGUUUUGCUGUCACUUAUAGAUGGAUCCGCUCCGCAUUAGCUAGUUGGUAAGGUAACGGCUUACCAAGGCAACGAUGCGUAGCCGACCUGAGAGGGUGAGCGGCCACACUGGAAGUGAGACACGGUCCAGACUCCUACGGGAGGCAGCAGUAGGGAAUGCUUGGCAAUGGGGGAAAGCCUGACGGAGCAACGCCGAGUGAGUGAUGAAGGUCUUCGGAUCGUAAAACUCUGUUAUUAGGGAAGAACAGAUGUGUAAGUAACUAUGCAAGUCUUGACGGUACAGAAUAAGAAAGAGACGGCUAACUACGUG